rnacentral:lncRNA from 1 species
GGGGCGUGGCCUGGACGGCAGGGCGCGGCCUGGGCAAGGUGGGCAUGGCCCCCUCACAGGACAAGAAGCAGAGGACACACAGGGCCAGGGAUAGGUGGUGAUGUAACUGACCUGUCAGGUAAGGGUCAGUGGUGUGGGCGGGGUCAGGAGAGAAGGGGCGGGGCCACGCACAGUACAGGAAGUAGAAGACAGCAUGGCGGGGACACAAAGUGAAGCAGGGGUGUGGCAAGCGAGGGAGGCUUGGCCUAGACGUAAGGGCGGGACCUCGGCGGGGUGGGCGUGGCCCCACACAGCACAGGAAACAGAGCUCACACAAGGGUGAGAACAAGAAGUAACAUCACUGAGCAACCACUGUUGGGGUAAACCUGAGGGCACGGCCAGCAAGAGUGGGCGGGGUCCCCCCGGGCCCUGCCCACCUGCAGGAAGGGCACAAAGUCCUCCUGGAUGAGGCCACUACACCCGGGGUGGCCCAGCAGCCGCACGAACCGCGCAGCAUCAUCAUGGCAGGAAGUCCCUCUCCUUCGGACGUGAUUGACAGGAUCGACUUCCUACGGCUUCGUACAGACACAAGGCCCUGCGCACCCACACUGGCCCUUCCCCCCUGCGGGCUGUCCCUCACGCACUCACCGUCCUGGGUCCCGUCGUUCUCAGCGCGGGCCGCGGCAGCGGUCGGGAGGCGGGGUUAGGGUCGGAGGUCGUGUUUCCGGGGUCCGCAUCGGGGGUCGCGGCGGCGGCGGGGUCAGAGGUCGUCCCUGGGUCCCGGAUGCGGCGGAGGGCGUGGCUGAGCGCGCGCUGCGUGUGAGGAUCGCCGAGCCAGCGCCGGAAGAGCUCGUCCACCUUCAGCUGUAGCCGCGGCGUCAGCGGCGCCAUGGCAACCAGAAGGCGCGGGGAGUGAUGGCGUCACCGACGCGACAGAUGUGGGGUGGAGUCGGGCGAAUCCCGGAAGAACGUGCGGCGUAUAACCUCAGUCGGCCGUGGGUUCCACGAGAGGCUGCGUUCCGGGUGAUGGCGACACGGGUUACGCGACAACGGAAGGGGCGUGGUUGCAUCCGCAAACGCUCGGCAGUCACGGUUUCAAAAUAAAAAAUGGAAAAAAAAAAAAAAUCCUUGGCCCGGGCGCAGGCUGAUGGCAUCAGCAAGUCAGGUCGCCGCGUGGAGGCCGUGCGCGCAUGCGCAGUGACUUCCCCCGGCCACGGGCUCGCAUGCGCUGGGGGUGUGCGCCGGCUUGGGGUCCCGAUGCGUAUGCGCGUUGGGUUUCUGUUGCAGGCAGCGCACAUGCGCAUUGCGUUUACUUCCAAGUUGGCUGCACAUGCGUGUCGCAGAAGUGCGGGUCUGGCGAGUACAAAGAAGCCUGGCUUCGCGCAUGCGUAUCGUGACGUAUGACAGCGAGUAUGGCCUGGUGCCAUCAGUCAUCCUGGAAGCUCCGCUCACUUUUAAAAAAUAAUCUCAUUGG